CGUCCUUGAAAUACCACCCUGGUAAUGUUGAGGUUCUAACUCUGUCCCGUGAUCCGGGACGAGGACCGUGUCUGGUGGGUAGUUUGACUGGGGCGGUCUCCUCCUAAAGAGUAACGGAGGAGUACGAAGGUGCGCUCAGCGUGGUCGGAAAUCACGCGUAGAGUAUAAAGGCAAAAGCGCGCUUAACUGCGAGACCCACAAGUCGAGCAGGUACGAAAGUAGGUCUUAGUGAUCCGGUGGUUCUGUAUGGAAGGGCCAUCGCUCAACGGAUAAAAGGUACUCUGGGGAUAACAGGCUGAUACCGCCCAAGAGUUCAUAUCGACGGCGGUGUUUGGCACCUCGAUGUCGGCUCAUCUCAUCCUGGGGCUGAAGCAGGUCCCAAGGGUAUGGCUGUUCGCCAUUUAAAGAGGUACGCGAGCUGGGUUUAGAACGUCGUGAGACAGUUCGGUCCCUAUCUACCGUGGGCGCUGGAAAUUUGAGAGGAUCUGCUCCUAGUACGAGAGGACCAGAGUGGACGAACCUCUGGUGUACCGGUUGUGACGCCAGUCGCAUCGCCGGGUAGCUAUGUUCGGAAGGGAUAACCGCUGAAAGCAUCUAAGCGGGAAGCCUACCUCAAGAUAAGAUUUCCCUAGGACUUUAUGUCCUCUAAAGAGCCGUUCGAGACUAGGACGUUGAUAGGUUGGAUGUGGAAGCAUAGUGAUAUGUGAAGCUGACCAAUACUAAUUGCUCGUGAGGCUUGACUAU
rnacentral:rRNA from 1 species